rnacentral:rRNA from 1 species
UACGUAGGUGGCAAGCGUUAUCCGGAAUUAUUGGGCGUAAAGAGCGCGCAGGUGGUUGAUUAAGUCUGAUGUGAAAGCCCACGGCUUAACCGUGGAGGGUCAUUGGAAACUGGUCAACUUGAGUGCAGAAGAGGGAAGUGGAAUUCCAUGUGUAGCGGUGAAAUGCGUAGAGAUAUGGAGGAACACCAGUGGCGAAGGCGGCAUCCUGGACCGGUAUUGACGCUGAGGCGCGAAAGCCAGGGGAGCAAACGGG